rnacentral:lncRNA from 1 species
GCGAAAAUCCGGCCUCCAGGUACGUCCCUCCCCUCUACCGUUUACUAUUUCUUUCUUUAAUAAGCAACCAAUAAAUGCAAAACGAAAAAAGAAAGAAGAGAAAAGAACAAACUAUUAUACAAAAAAAGCAACAAAAGAACUCUGAAGUCACCUUCUUUAUAUUUUUUAUUUUUGUAUUUUGAAUGCAUAAGAAAGUUACAGUUAACUCUUGGUCUUUUUAUAGUCUCUAUUUAUAGAAGAAUGAAAAAUAAAAAUAAAAAUGAAAAAUAAAUCGCCCCCGUUCUGUUAUUUUUUGCUUUUUCUCUCUGCUCAUUUUGUGUGUGUAUGUUUGCAGGUACACCACCAUCCUGGAGCCACAGAAGAGCACCCAUGAAGAAAGACGUUGCACGCGCGUGGAUCCAGAUCCCCUGUUGCGGCACUAGCGAGAACCCUCUGAGAUUCUAGGAUAUUCGGUUGCAUUUUGGACCUGGUGAUCUGGGUUUAGCCAAUUGGGUCCAAGUUCAGAUCCGUUUAGGUUCAAUUGAU